rnacentral:rRNA from 1 species
AUUGAACGCUGGCGGAAUGCUUUACACAUGCAAGUCGAACGGCAGCACGGACUUCGGUCUGGUGGCGAGUGGCGAACGGGUGAGUAAUGUAUCGGAACGUGCCCAGUCGUGGGGGAUAACGUAGUGAAAAUUACGCUAAUACCGCAUACGAUCUAUGGAUGAAAGCGGGGGAUCGCAAGACCCCGCGCGAUUGGAGCGGCCGAUAUCAGAUUAGGUAGUUGGUGGGGUAAAGGCCCACCAAGACAACGAUCUGUAGCUGGUCUGAGCGGACGACCAGCCACACUGGAACUGAGAAACGGGCCAGACUCCUACGGGAGGCAGAAGUGGGGAAUUUUGGACAAUGGGCGAAAGCCUGAGCCAGCCAUUCCGCGUGCAGGAUGAAGGCCCUCGGGUUGUAAACUGCUUUUGUACAGAACGAAAAGGUUUCUACUAAUACUAGGAGCUCAUGACGGUACUGUAAGAAUAAGCACCGGCUAACUACGUGCCAGCCGCCGCCGUAA